rnacentral:misc_RNA from 1 species
GCAGAAUCUGGCAAAAUCAUUCUUUCCCCUUUUUCCUUCAAACAUCAAACCUAGAAUAGCAUCCAUCAAAUUAAAUGGAGACAGAGGGAAUAUAAGAGGGAAAAACCCACAAAUGCAACCCAACAAUUUCAAUUAACAAUUUAAAUGGAGAUUGGAGAUAGCGAGGGAAUAGAAGAGCAGGGAGGGGGGGGCAGCAGUAUGAUGGACGAUGGUGGCAACUGGUGUGGCGUGGUGCUCUGUUUAUAGGCCUUAGUGACACUGGUGAUGAGAUCCUCAUCAUGAUUGAGGGCAGUACAAAUCACAGCACUGGUCUUCCUGGAGUAGAACCAAGCUUCAAUUUUGAGCUUGCGUUUUCCAGUAGCCCUAGCUUCAUCCUUGAUGGGAUGGAAAUCAAGGUUCAAAUGUGAACGAGCUCGCAUCGAGGACCCUUCACCUCUAAGGCUCUGGCGUUGAUCUUGAUCUUAACCGCAUCGGGGAUGUCCAUAGUCAUAUGAGAGUGUAGUCUUCAUUUCCUCAACCCUCCGUGUUCCUCUAUCUUUCUUUGCAAAUGUGAUAAGAUAGGGGUUUGACUUUUGAGAGAAUGAGAUAGGGACUGAGUGAGUCUGAGAAUGACUGAAGGAGGGUGGUGGCAUAUUUUUAGGUUUUGGGGUUGCAGAUGAGAGACUUACCCCAAAACACAGCAUUUAAGUUUAACAACUUCAGUUUAGCUCGGUUUUAUGUUUUUUCAGUUAAAACUAAAUUCUGCUCACCCUUUAGCCACUGAAAAUUCCUAGGGCAAACAGCAGAAUGAAUUUACGAGAAAGAACUAACGAAAAACAGAACCAAAAAGUGCAGCGUUUAGCUUAAAAUUUCUCAACUGCUAUGUUUUGCAGAUGAAUGUAUGUUAUAG